GAUGGACGCUGGCGGCGUGCCUAAUACAUGCAAGUCGAGCGAACGGACGAGAAGCUUGCUUCUCUGAUGUUAGCGGCGGACGGGUGAGUAACACGUGGAUAACCUACCUAUAAGACUGGGAUAACUUCGGGAAACCGGAGCUAAUACCGGAUGAUAUUUUGAACCGCAUGGUUCAAAAGUGAAAGACGGUCUUGCUGUCACUUAUAGAUGGAUCCGCGCUGCAUUAGCUAGUUGGUAAGGUAACGGCUUACCAAGGCAACGAUGCAUAGCCGACCUGAGAGGGUGAUCGGCCACACUGGAACUGAGACACGGUCCAGACUCCUACGGGAGGCAGCAGUAGGGAAUCUUCCGCAAUGGGCGAAGGCCUGACGGAGCAACGCCGCGUGAGUGAUGAAGGUCUUCGGAUCGUAAAACUCUGUUAUUAGGGAAGAACAUAUGUGUAAGUAACUGUGCACAUCUUGACGGUACCUAAUCAGAAAGCCACGGCUAACUACGUG
rnacentral:rRNA from 1 species